UUUCGGGGUGAGCGGUGGACGGGUUAGUAACGCGUGGGAAUAUACCCUUUGGUACGGAAUACCCUCUGGAAACGGAGAGUAAUACCGUAUGAGCCCUUCGGGGGAAAGAUUUAUCGCCAAAGGAUUAGCCCGCGUUAGAUUAAGUAGUUGGUGGGGUAAUGGCCUACCUAGCCUACGAUCUAUAGCUGGUUUUAGAGGAUGAUCAUCAACACUGGGACUGAGACACGGCCCACACUCCUACGGGAGGCAGCAGUGGGGAAUCUUGGACAAUGGGCGCAAGCCUGAUCCAGCCAUGCCGCGUGAGUGAUGAAGGCCUUAGGGUCGUAAAGCUCUUUCGCCUGUGAAGAUAAUGACGGUAGCAGGUAAAGAAACCCCGGCUAACUCCGUGCCAGCAGCCGCGGUAAUACGGAGGGGGUUAGCGUUGUUCGGAAUUACUGGGCGUAAAGCGCACGUAGGCGGACUGGAAAGUAUGGGGUGAAAUCCCAGGGCUCAACCCUGGAACUGCCUCAUAAACUAUCAGUCUAGAGUUCGAGAGAGGUGAGUGGAAUUCCGAGUGUAGAGGUGAAAUUCGUAUAUAUUCGGAGGAACACCAGUGGCGAAGGCGGCUCACUGGCUCGAUACUGACGCUGAGGUGCGAAAGUGUGGGGAGCAAACAGGAUUAGAUACCCUGGUAGUCCACACCGUAAACGAUGAAUGCCAGUCGUCGGGUAGCAUGCUAUUCGGUGACACACCUAACGGAUUAAGCAUUCCGCCUGGGGAGUACGGUCGCAAGAUUAAAACUCAAAGGAAUUGACGGGGGCUCGCACAAGCGGUGGA
rnacentral:rRNA from 1 species